ensembl:lncRNA novel transcript
AAAUUUCCCAGGGCUACAAAGCCUUCACUGUAUGAGCUGCAAAUCAAGCCAAAAUGUUAUCAGAGAUGAAGAGAUGGGGAUAGCCAUCAGGCCUGGGGAUGGACCUCCCUGGAGCUGGGCAUUCAAGAGGAUGAGUGCAGCAGAACGCGUAUCCAGGGAGCCUUUCGGUGACUGUUUGGGCAAAGCCUCCCUUGUGGUAAAAGAUGCCUCACUUCUGGGGAGAGGAGGCUCCUCAUCUUGCAGACAAGAAGCAGCACCCACUGGUUCCUGUUCCAAAAGCCAUUAUGAACAUUAUAAACUGGCCAGGUGCGGUGGCUCAAACCUGUAAUCCCAGCACCAUUUGGGAGGUUGAGGCAGAAGGAUUGCUUGAGCCCAGGAGUUUGAGAACAGCCUGGGCAACAAAGUGAGACCCAAUCUCUACAAAAACUAGAGAAAAAAUAGCUGGGUGUGGUGGCACUCACCUGUACUAAGGAGGCUGGGCUGGGAGGAUCUCCUGAGCCUAGGUGGUUGAGGCUGCAGUGAGCCAAGAUCAUGCCUCUGCACUUGAGCUUGGGUGACAGAGUAAGACCCUAUCUCAAAAAAUAAA